rnacentral:rRNA from 1 species
CUACGGGUUGCUCCAGUGAGGAAUAUUGCACAAUGGGGGGAACCCUGAUGCAGCAACGCCGCGUGGAGGAUGACGCAUUUCGGUGUGUAAACUCCUUUUAUAUGUCAAGAAAAUGACGGUAGCAUAUGAAUAAGCACCGGCUAACUCCGUGCCAGCAGCCGCGGUAAUACGGAGGGUGCAAGCGUUACUCGGAAUCACUGGGCGUAAAGGACGCGUAGGCGGGUUGGAAAGUCAGGUGUGAAACCCUACAGCUUAACUGUAGAACUGCACUUGAAACUUCUAAUCUAGAGUAUGGGAGAGGUAGAUGGAAUUUCUGGUGUAGGGGUAAAAUCCGUAGAUAUCACUAGGAAUACCUAAAGCGAAGGCGAUCUCCUGGAACAUUACUGACGCUAAGGCGUGAAAGCGUGGGGAGCAAACAGGAUUAGAUACCCCCGUAGUC